GAUGAACGCUGGCGGCGUGCCUAAUACAUGCAAGUCGAGCGAACAGAUGAGGAGCUUGCUCCUCUGACGUUAGCGGCGGACGGGUGAGUAACACGUGGAUAACCUACCUAUAAGACUGGGGUAACUUCGGGAAACCGGAGCUAAUACCGGAUAAUAUAUUGAACCGCAUGGUUCAAUAGUGAAAGACGGUUUUGCUGUCACUUAUAGAUGGAUCCGCGCCGCAUUAGCUAGUUGGUAAGGUAACGGCUUACCAAGGCAACGAUGCGUAGCCGACCUGAGAGGGUGAUCGGCCACACUGGAACUGAGAAACGGUCCAGACUCCUACGGGAGGCAGCAGUAGGGAAUCUUCCGCAAUGGGCGAAAGCCUGACGGAGCAACGCCGCGUGAGUGAUGAAGGUCUUCGGAUCGUAAAACUCUGUUAUUAGGGAAGAACAAAUGUGUAAGUAACUAUGCACGUCUUGACGGUACCUAAUCAGAAAGCCACGGCUAACUACGUG
rnacentral:rRNA from 1 species